rnacentral:rRNA from 1 species
GACAGAGGGUGCGAACGUUGUUCGGAAUUACUGGGCGUAAAGCGCAUGUAGGCGGCCGCGCAGGUCGGAUGUGAAAGCCCUGGGCUCAACCCAGGAAGUGCAUUCGAAACUGCGCGGCUCGAGUCCCGGAGAGGAAGUUGGAAUUCUCGGUGUAGAGGUGAAAUUCGUAGAUAUCAGGAGGAACACCUGCGGUGUAGACGGCUUACUGGACCAUAACUGACGCUGAUGCGCGAAAGCCAGGGGAGCGAAGCGGG